AGCAUUGCCUUUCCCUGCAGGACUUUUCAUAAUGAGGAAGCCCUGAUGGCCUGAGACCUUCAGUUGGGAAAACCCUGCCUGGUGAGCGCGGGGAGAAAGGGUGAACUCAUGGGGAUGCCGUGAGCCCUGAGGUCUGGGAUCAAAGGACCAAGCCCUUCCCCAGCAAGAGACUUCACAGACAAAGCAGAGUGGUAGCACAAGUUUGGGAAAUCACUUGGGUGUCAAUG
rnacentral:lncRNA from 1 species